ACGGAACGUUAUUUUGACCCCAGUAUUGGCAAAGUAGUGGUGUACAAGUUAGUGUUAGGGCGUGUUGUUACUCUGAGCUGGUACCCCGUUACCCUUUGGGGUCGCUAGGGCUGACAGACCCCUAGCUUACACUCAUUUUGUACACCCUCAAAACGCCAAUACAUAGGGUCAAAAAUAUAUAAUUUACAACUUGCGUAUAUACCCUCUUUGGGGAGUAUAUAUAUGUAGGGAGAUAUUUGAGUGCUGAUCCCUAAUUAGUAUUAAUAUAUAAUUAUAAAUAUGUAUUUAAUUGUAUGUUUAAUUUCAGUGGUAUUGUUAUUGAACGAGGGAAUGGUCGGACGAUGAGGCAUCGCGUGACAUGAGGGGACUGGUGAGUUAAUAAUGUGGAGGAGACUCCCCCCCAUUGUGAUGGGAGCAGUGGUGGACGGAUGAUUGAAGUCAGACAGCGGGGAGUAGAAGGUGGUGGCAGAUGUCCCGGUUGAGGUAAUACCGGACCGAUUGGACCCCUGGGCUGUCUGAACUUGAAGCGUCUGCAUGUUCAAGUGUUCGUGAAGACUUAUCAAAUGUGGAGAUGAUGGUUGAUUGGUAGAGGAAAUCUGAGCCAGCGGACUUUGACGUACAACGGAAGCAGAGGGUGAUGUGGAAGAAGUUGAAGACAAGGAUGAGUUGACCCACACCGUGACUAACUGAAAGGACUUGAGAUUGGCCAAGAUAUGAAGUUACAUUAUUUAUUCAGGAAGGCCCUUCUGUUUAAUGUGUACACUAUUAAAGAUUGCUGUUAAUA